rnacentral:lncRNA from 1 species
UUUUCUUUUUUUUUUUUUCGAACUAAAGCUGUACCUUUUAAUACGUGGUCAACGCCCCUCUGCUCGGGGUUCAGUCUUGGGUCUUAACCAGCUGUCAUGUUCUCUUUGCUGCCUGCCACUUGAGACACCGAGUGCCCUAGACAGCCCCCAAUCAGCGGUAGCCAGGGAAACACAAGACGAACUCAACUCUUGCUCCUAAUACUCAGCUUCUCUGUACAAGGGGUGGCAGUGGCAAGAGUCCUUCUGCCUGGGCAUUAUUGGGCCAGUUCACCCUCUUUAAAUCAAACCCGCAGUGGCUCCUGGUUCUCGUGCCAUCCGAUUUAAAUCUCUAACAGUACGGUGGGCACCACGCACCUGUUUUGUCCCACGAUGUGCUUUUUCUCUCCCCGAUUCUGAUUUCUGCUGUCAUAUCCUGUCUUCGGUUUCUCUUUAUUGUCUGCUCUCCACUGUAUACAGUAGUAGAGAGCGGUGCCACUUAUCACUUUCUGCAACAGUUUUCCCAGGCCUUCAUGGCUGGAUCCCGUUUUCCUUCCUUUUCAGAGUGUUGUGCCCACCCCUCCUCCCUUAUGGCUGUCUUUUAUGGUCAUCCCCAUCUGUCUGGGGGCCUCAUCUCUCACUUACCCUUCCUGGUGCUUCAUGGAUCUCUGCUUAGCUUGGUGGGGUUUUCUCUUUGUUUGUUGGGGGGGUUUUUCUGGUCUUACUCUUCUCACUGGACUUUAAGAUUCCUUCCACAGCAAAGACGCUGCCUCCCUUUCUGCCCUCCGUGUUCUGAGUAUUUAGAUAACUCAGUGCCGAAGUUUGAUGGCAAAAGUUGCCUGCACUUAAAUUUCUCUUUUUAAUCGGUGAGCUAGAGUUUCUUUUUUUCUUUUUUUUUUUCUUUCUCUUCUGUCAGAUUUCACAUGCUUUGCAAAUUACAAAAGGUGACAGUUCACCUGAAAACUGCAAGUCUGGUCUGUUUAAAUCGUUGAGAAUAUCUGAUUAAAAGUCACGGGGCUGUAUCAUAAUAGACUUUCUUUCGGGAUGUUGUAGUCAAUAGAGUGACCAAAUUGUACUUGGCUUUACAAAGCGGUGCAUUCACUCUGCUGUAAUCGUCGCGUUAGUAAGAGUUCAGCUGUAUAUCAUCGCCUAGGUUUAUCUUGUCUUACAAUGGGUAUUCAAAUAUGGCCACCAGAGGAUACAUGUGAAUCUAAGCGCCUGCAUUUGCCUGUUGUUGAGAACUGGAGGGGGGGGGGAAAUGUCUGGCAACCCUUUGCCUUUUUACUGUAAUUAAUUGACAGUUUAUUUAGAGACGAGAGUUUUCAAAACUCUCUUAACUGCCACAACCCACUGGCGGUCUUGUUUCGCCAUCUCCAGUGGCUAGCAGAGAUAAUCCAAGGUAACUGUACAGAGAUGAGCAGUAGCCAGGAAAUCGCCCUGCCUUGAACUUUGGCUGCCCUUCAUUACGAAUGUUUAGUGCUGAAUUUUUCAUAAAUCUAGUGUUUGAGGGGAAAGAAAAGGCCUUUUUACCAAGCAUCUCUGUAAGACAGCAUCGGUGGGAUUGGUGGGCUCUUCAGUGUUUUUCACUGUCGGGAUCUUGUGUGGAUGGAAGAGAGAAACGCUUUUUAUUUUUAUUAAACAGAGCAUUAUUUACAGAAAGCCAUUGUUGAGAAUUAGUUCCCACAUCAUAUAAAUAUCCAUUAGCCAUUCUAAAUUGUAAGAGAACUCCAGUGUUGCUAUGCGCAAGGAACUCUCCUGGGGGCCUUUUUGCAUAGCAAUUAAAGGUAUGCUUUUUGUCUGUAUCCUUUUUUUUGCAGUGAUUUAAAGACCAAAGUUGUUUUACAGCUGUGUUACCCUUAAAGGUUUUUUUUUUAUUUAUUAAAUCAAUUUAUCACUGUUUGAAGCUUUGAAUACCUGCAAUCUUUGCCAAGAUACUUUUUUAUUUAAAAUAAUAACUGUGUAAAUAUUACCCUGUAAUAUUAUAUAUACUUAAUAAAACAUUUUAAGCUAU